rnacentral:rRNA from 1 species
CCUACGGGUGGCUGCAGUGAGGAAUAUUGGUCAAUGGGCGCGAGCCUGAACCAGCCAAGCAGCGUGAAUGAUGAAUGCCCUACGGGUUUUAAACUCCUUUUAUAAAGGAAUAAAGUGAGGCAUGUGUGCCUUUUUGUAUGUACUUUAUGAACAAGGAUCGGCUAACUUCGGGCCAGCAGCCGCGGUAAUACGGAGGGUCCGAGCGUUACCCGGAUUUAUUGGGUUUAAAGGGAGCGUAGAUGGGUGGUUAAGUCAGUUGUGAAAGGUUGCGGCUCAACCGUGAAAUUGCAUUUGAUACUGGCAGGCUUGAGUACAGUUGAGGUAGGCGGAAUUCGUGGUGUAGCGGUGAAAUGCGUAGAUAUCACGAAGAACUCCGGUUGCGAAGGCAGCUUACUAAACUGCCACUGACAUUGAUGCUCGAAAGUGUGGGUAUCAAACAGGAUUAGAUACCCCAGUAGUC